GAGGAAGUCCAGGUCAAAUAAGGAAGGAGGUAGAGCCCAGGGAUGCAGCUGUCAGACCUUGGAGAAGGAGCACUUGGAGACUAGAGUGCACAAGAUGGCUCAAAAGGGAUUAAGGAUGAAUGGAGAGAUGGGAGAUUUUGACCAGAAACUAAAAUACUGGAGUUUAAAUGGCUCAAGGCAUUCCUUAAUCUACUCAAAGUGACACCUAAGAUUAACCAUCACAAAUGGGGAUGAAGUCUGGAUUAGCGAGAUGUGCUGUUCCAUUUGGAAGUCAAGGUUGGUGCCACCUAAAUGGGUUCCUGCUGCAAGGAAC
rnacentral:lncRNA from 10 species